AAGAGUACGUAAAGAAAAUACGUUUGAUAGGUCCAAGGUGUAAGUGCAGUAAUGUAUUAAGCUAAUGGAUACUAAACUUUAAAUCUUGACUGG
rnacentral:rRNA from 1 species